UUCUACAGUAGCUAAUAAACUCAGAUGAGAC
rnacentral:piRNA from 1 species